UCAUUUGACCGCUUUUGUAGCUGGGUAUUUCCUUACUGGCAUGGUCUUUCAUAAGACACCUGAUGUCAAAGCACUACAAAGAACACUAUCCUAUGAGACAGGAAUGCAAAGCAGUCUUCUGGCCCUUGCCCUUGCAAACAGAUUUUUCCAAGAUCCACUUGUUGGAGUGCCUCCGGCCAUCUCUACUGUAAUCAUGUCUUUGAUGGGCUUCUCUCUUGUUAUGGUUUGGGCCAAAAGGAAAGAAUAACUAGACAAAAUAGAUCUCAAAUUCUUUGAAGUUGGCUCAGUGGUUCUUGAUGGCUUGCAUAUUAAUGAAGUGCACUCAAGCAUGAU